rnacentral:rRNA from 1 species
CCUACGGGGGGCAGCAGUGAGGAAUAUUGGUCAAUGGGCGCGACCCUGAACCAGCCAAGCCGCGUGAGUGAAGACGGUCCUAUGGAUUGUAAACCUCUUCUGCCGGGGAGCAAAAGACGCCACGCGUGGCGUUCCGAGAGUACCCGAAGAACAAGCAUCGGCUAACUCCGUGCCAGCAGCCGCGGUAAUACGGAGGAUGCGAGCGUUAUCCGGAUUUAUUGGGGUUAAAGGGGGCGCAGGCGGAAGAUCAAGUCAGCGGUAAAAGUGAGAGGCUCAACCUCUUCGAGCCGUUGAAACUGGUUGUCUUGAGUGAGUGAGAGGUAUGCGGAAUGCGUGGUGUAGCGGUGAAAUGCGUAGAUAUCACGCAGAACUCCGAUUGCGAAGGCAGCAUACCGGCGCUCAACUGACGCUCAUGCACGAAAGUGUGGGUAUCGAACAGGAUUAGAUACCCUGGUAGUC